rnacentral:rRNA from 1 species
CAUGCAGUCGAGCGAUUUACUUCGGUAAGAGCGGCGGACGGGUGAGUAACGCGUGGGUAACCUGCCUCAUACACAUGGAUAACAUACCGAAAGGUAUGCUAAUACAGGAUAAUAUAAGAGAUUCACAUGGAUUUCUUAUCAAAGCUCCGGCGGUAUGAGAUGGACCCGCGUCUGAUUAGCUAGUUGGUAAGGUAAUGGCUUACCAAGGCGACGAUCAGUAGCCGACCUGAGAGGGUGAUCGGCCACAUUGGAACUGAGACACGGUCCAAACUCCUACGGGAGGCAGCAGUGGGGAAUAUUGCACAAUGGGCGAAAGCCUGAUGCAGCAACGCCGCGUGAGUGAUGAAGGCCUUCGGGUCGUAAAACUCUGUCCUCAAGGAAGAUAAUGACGGUACUUGAGGAGGAAGCCCCGGCUAACUACGUGCCAGCAGCCCGCGGUAAUACGUAGGGGGCUAGCGUUAUCCGGAUUUACUGGGCGUAAAGGGUGCGUAGGUGGUUUUUUAAGUCAGGAGUGAAAGGCUACGGCUCAACCGUAGUAAGCUCUUGAAACUGGAAAACUUGAGUGCAGGAGAGGAAAGUGGAAUUCCUAGUGUAGCGGUGAAAUGCGUAGAUAUUAGGAGGAACACCAGUAGCGAAGGCGGCUUUCUGGACUGUAACUGACACUGAGGCACGAAAGGCGUGGGGAGCAAACAGGAUUAAGAAUACCCUGGUAGUCCACGCGGUAACGAUGAGUACUAGUGUCGGGGGUACCCCCCCUCGGGUGGCCCGCAGGCUAACGCAAUUAAGUUAUCUCCCGCCUGGG